rnacentral:rRNA from 1 species
GAUGAACGCUAGCGGCAGGCUUAAUACAUGCAAGUUGAGGGGCAGCAUGAUAUACGCGAGUAUAUUGAUGGCGACCGGCGAACGGGUGAGUAAUAGGUAGGAGACCUACCUCAUACAGGGGGAUAGCAUAGAGAAAUCUGUGGUAAUACCCCAUGAGGUUAUAUGAAUAGAGGCAUAUAAUCAAAGCAUAAGCGAUUAUGCGGUAUGAGAGGGGCCUACUGACCAUUAGCUAGUUGGUGAGGUAAGGGCUCACCAAGGCGAAGAUGGUUAGGGGUUUUGAGAGAGAGACCCCCCACAUUGGAACUGAGAGACGGUCCAGACUCCUACGGGAGGCAGCAGUAGGGAAUAUUGGGCAAUGGGCGAAAGCCUGACCCAGCCAUGCCGCGUGAAGGAAGACGGCCUUAUGGGUUGUAAACUUCUUUACUACGCGAAUAGAGGUUAGUACGAGAUACUAAUAGGAAGGUAGUGUAAGUAAAAGCACCGGCUAACUCCGUGCC